CACGUAGUUAGCCGGUGCUUCUUCUGUGGCUACCGUCAUAAUCGUCACCACCGAAAGGAGUUUACAAUCCAAGAACCUUCAUCCUCCACGCGGAAUUGCUGCGUCAGGCUUUCGCCCAUUGCGCAAUAUUCCCUA
rnacentral:rRNA from 1 species